UACAGAGGUCUCAAGCGUUGUUCGGAUUCAUUGGGCGUAAAGGGUGCGUAGGCGGCGCGGUAAGUCGGGUGUGAAAUCUCGGGGCUUAACUCCGAAACUGCAUUCGAUACUGCCGUGCUUGAGGACUGGAGAGGAGACUGGAAUUUACGGUGUAGCGGUGAAAUGCGCAGAUAUCGGGAGGAACACCAGUAGCGAAGGCGGCACUCUGGGCCGGAACUGACGCUGAGGAGCGAAAGCGUGGGGAGCGAACAGG
rnacentral:rRNA from 1 species